rnacentral:rRNA from 1 species
CGAAAGCCUGACGGAGCAAGACCGCGUGGGGGAGGAAGGCUCUAGGGUUGUAAACCCCUUUUCUUUGGGAAGAACAAAAUGACGGUACCAAAGGAAUCAGCCUCGGCUAACUCUGUGCCAGCAGCCGCGGUAAGACAGAGGAUGCAAGCGUUAUCCGGAAUGAUUGGGCGUAAAGCGUCCGCAGGUGGCAAUGUAAGUCUGCUGUCAAACCCCAGGGCUCAACUCUGGUCAGGCAGUGGAAACUACGUAGCUAGAGUUCGGUAGGGGCAAAGGGAAUUCCCGGUGUAGCGGUGAAAUGCGUAGAGAUCGGGAAGAACAUCGGUGGCGAAAGCGCUUUGCUAGACCGAAACUGACACUCAGGGACGAAAGCUAGGGGAGCG